GUCCCCAUCGUCUAGUGGCCCAGGACUCCGCCUUUUCACGGCGGCAACAGGGGUUCGAGUCCCCUUGGGGACGCCA
rnacentral:tRNA from 1 species